rnacentral:rRNA from 1 species
UACGUAUGGUGCAAGCGUUAUCCGGAUUUACUGGGUGUAAAGGGAGCGCAGGCGGCGCGGCAAGUCCGAUGUGAAAACCCCCGGCUCAACCGGGGGACUGCAUUGGAAACUACCGGGCUGGAGUGCCGGAGAGGUAGGCGGAAUUCCUGGUGUAGCGGUGAAAUGCGUAGAUAUCAGGAGGAACACCAGUGGCGAAGGCGGCCUACUGGACUGCAACUGACGUUGAGGCCCGAAAGCGUGGGGAGCAAACAGG